rnacentral:lncRNA from 10 species
CUAACCCCCAGUUCCUCAGAACGCGACUUUAUUUGGAAAACUGAAGAAGAAGAUGUUGAAAGUGAAGAUAAUCUCACUUAGGCAUGUCAGCCAGGAAAUCCAGUCAGAGAACUGGGUUUUUGAUAUCAGUGAAAUCCAAACAGAAAUAGAAAAAUUACCUAUGGUCGAUCAUAGUGUUAUCAUCAUUGGCCAGAGAAGGAAUUUCCAGGUACAUUUGGCUCAGAUAGUUUGUGCAAACAGGUGAAAAUAGUUGUUACCAAAUUGUAUGAGUAUAAUAAAAUAGCUAGUUUAAGAACACACCUGUGUCCAGAACACACUAUGAGGAUGAACAGACUUUCUCCUGGGACUGUGGAGAUGAUGGGGAACAGCAUCUGGUAGGUGUUUUCUCCAUUGCAUAGGGGUUUUUAAUGUGAGGGGUGUCAUGGUGUUUGUGUCACACUGGCAUGCAGACAUUCUGCUGGGACUAUAUUGCAUAUUACUGGCACAUAUAAACUAUGCUAGUAAUAUAUCAGUGGAGAAAUUCACCAGGGAAGCCAUCUAAGCCUUUGGUAAAGAACAAAAAAAAAAAAUAAGAAAAGACAACAAUUUGAAA